GCUAAACGCGAAGAACCUUACCAAGGCUUGACAUGGAUUUCUAAGCACGUGAAAGCGUGUGACCCUUCGGGGGACUUCCACAGGUGCUGCAUGGCCGUCGUCAGCUCGUGUCGUGAGAUGUUGGGUUAAGUCCCGCAACGAGCGCAACCCUUGUGAACAGUUGCCAGCGCGUCAUGGCGGGAACUCUGUUCAGACUGCCCAGAUCAACUGGGAGGAAGGUGGGGACGACGUCAGGUCAGUAUGGCCCUUACGCCUUGGGCUGCACACGUACUACAAUGCCCAGCACAAUGAGAACCGAUGCCGCGAGGUGGAGGAAAUCUGCAAAACUGGGCUCAGUUCGGAUUGGAGGCUGCAACUCGCCUCCAUGAAGUUGGAAUCGCUAGUAAUGGGGCAUCAUCUACGGCCCCCGUGAAUACGUUCCCGGGUCUUGUACACACCG
rnacentral:rRNA from 1 species